rnacentral:rRNA from 2 species
UACGUAGGUGACAAGCGUUAUCCGGAAUUACUGGGCGUAAAGCGCACGCAGGCGGCGCCGUAAGUCUGAUGUGAAAUCUCCUGGCUUAACUGGGAGGGGUCAUUGGAAACUGCGGUGCUUGAGGCGAUGAGAGGGGUGUAGAAUUCCCGGUGUAGUGGUGGAAUGCGUAGAUAUCGGGAGGAAUACCAGUGGCGAAAGCGGCACCCUGGCAUUAGCCUGACGCUCAUGUGCGAAGGCGUGGGGAGCGAACGGG